rnacentral:rRNA from 1 species
GUCUAUGGCCCUACCACCCUGAACAUGCCUGAUCUCAUCUGAUCUCAGAAGCCAAGCAGGGUCGGGCCUGGUUUGUACUUGGAUGGGAGAAGGUGGAUAGUAGUGAUGGUGAUGACA